rnacentral:rRNA from 1 species
CCUACGGGGGGCAGCAGUGAGGAAUAUUGGUCAAUGGGCGCGAGCCUGAACCAGCCAAGUCGCGUGAAGGAUGACUGCCCUACGGGUUGUAAACUUCUUUUAUCAAGGAAUAAAGUGAGCCACGUGUGCCUUUUUGUAUGUACUUUAUGAAUAAGGAUCGGCUAACUCCGUGCCAGCAGCCCCGGUAAUACGGAGGAUCCGAGCGUUAUCCGGAUUUAUUGGGUUUAAAGGGAGCGUAGAUGGGUUGUUAAGUCAGUUGUGAAAGUUUGCGGCUCAACCGUAAAAUUGCAGUUGAUACUGGCAGCCUUGAGUACAGUUGAGGUAGGCGGAAUUCGUGGUGUAGCGGUGAAAUGCUUAGAUAUCACGAAGAACUCCGAUUGCGAAGGCAGCUUACUAAACUGCCACUGACAUUGAUGCUCGAAAGUGUGGGUAUCAAACAGGAUUAGAUACCCGAGUAGUC